GGCUCUCCAGGAAGAGUUGAGAGCCAUGUUUGGACUUCUACACAGCAACUUGAACCUCUGCAAUCCUCACCCUCUUCUGGGAUGCUGAAGUGAGUAAAUUACCAGAAACUGAACUAGAAAGGUAGCUUACAGUAAUUUUGA